GACGAACGCUGGCGGCGUGCUUAACACAUGCAAGUCGAACGGAAAGGCCCUGCUUUUGUUGGGUGCUCGAGUGGCGAACGGGUGAGUAACACGUGAGUAACCUGCCCUUGACUUUGGGAUAACUUCAGGAAACUGGGGCUAAUACCGGAUAGGAGCUCCUGCUGCAUGGUGGUGGUUGGAAAGUUUCGGCGGUUGGGGAUGGACUCGCGGCUUAUCAGCUUGUUGGUGGGGUAGUGGCUUACCAAGGCUUUGACGGGUAGCCGGCCUGAGAGGGUGACCGGCCACAUUGGGACUGAGAUACGGCCCAGACUCCUACGGGAGGCAGCAGUGGGGAAUAUUGCACAAUGGGCGGAAGCCUUAUGCAGCAACGCCGCGUGCGGGAUGACGGCCUUCGGGUUGUAAACCGCUUUCGCCUGUGACGAAGCGUGAGUGACGGUAAUGGGUAAAGAAGCACCGGCUAACUACGUG
rnacentral:rRNA from 1 species